rnacentral:rRNA from 1 species
AGUUCGUGGAGUGAUCUGUCUGCUUAAUUGCGUUUCAAAUUUUUAACCGAGGACCGGGUUUUGGUUUGGCUAGUGGUCCUACGAUGACUGUGAACUGUCAUGUCUUCGGAUGUACGACUAUCGGUCUAGGAUCACAUGACUUGCCCCUGGGACUCUUUUGAACGCAACGGACGUGAUUGCAACCCCUUGUUGAGAUUAGAGAUAGUCUCGAUAUUCACUGGCCAAACUGGCUGCUUUAUGCAGUCUUGUUGAAUGGUGGAUAAACUCGGGGGACUGCUGACUAUAACCAUUUCUCAAAACAGAGGAAGGUUGCGGCAAUAACAGGUCUGUGAUGCCCUCAGAUGUCCCGGGCUGCACACGUGCUACAAUGAGUGGCGCAAUGUGCUAAUGUUUUAAGGGAUAAGCGUGCGGCCAGUAGAACGUCGGCAAUUGCCCUGGCGUCUUCUACCGCACGAUUAUCAGCCUUCCCUUAACAGGGCGGGCAACCUUUUCAAAAUACCGGUUUGAUGUUAAAGUAUAGAGUCGUUUUUUUUGGAUGGUGGUUUACGAACCAAUACCAUCCGCAACUGCUCGCGAGUUUGUGGUUCUGGUGACUCA